CACGUAGGGGGCGAGCGUUGUCCGGAUUUAUUGGGCGUAAAGAGCUCGUAGGUGGCUCGGUAAGUCGGGUGUGAAAUUUCGAGGCUCAACCUCGAGACGCCACCUGAUACUGCUGUGGCUAGAGUCCGGUAGGGGAGCGUGGAAUUCCUGGUGUAGCGGUGAAAUGCGCAGAUAUCAGGAGGAACACCAGCGGCGAAGGCGGCGCUCUGGGCCGGUACUGACACUGAGGAGCGAAAGCGCGGGGAGCGAACAGG
rnacentral:rRNA from 1 species